GCCAACAAGAGCGUCCCCCUCCGCUGGCCAACAAGAGCGUCCCCCCCCCCCCCCCCCCCCCCCCCCCCCCCGGUCGUCGACCAACAGCCUCCGCAACGAGCGCAUGGUCGUGGAGGGCCUCCCGUGGCUGCCCCUACUGCUCCCACCCGCUGUAGGCUGCUUGUCCCCGACGAGGCCACGAAGCGGGAGGACCCCGACUGGUUCGGCGACGAGGAGGAGCUGCGCUAGGGCGUCUGGACGAUCGAAGAGGACCUCUACGCCAUGCUCAAGAAGAGCUCAGAUUGCAACUUCGGCUUCUAAAGAGGGAGACUAUAGACACUAGAGAUGACAACGAGCUUUUUACAUUGAGUGAUGUGAUGUGAAAACAUGUCAAUCACUUCCUGAGAUGGGGGAAUCCCACGCUUUUAGGAAUAUGGAAGAAAUGGAUUUCUUCUAUGUGUUUGAUAUGCUUGUUGCUUUGGGCAUUCAUGCACCCAAUGAGGAUGACCUCCUUGAUAACUGCUACUUACUGCAGUGUCCUCUAGGGGUUUAUUCAGGUAGCUCUAUUCACAUGAUUCAAAUGGUGAUUAGUUUUAGUGGAACCAAGUAUGUUUACAUAUUGCUUGGUUUUGGGCAAAAAUAAAAUCUAUUGGAAUGUGUUUGAACAACUAUCUAAUUUUAAAAAGUCAAUGUGUUAUAUAGAAACUGUGGUAAUGCACAUACACCUAACAAUUCUUAUAUACUCCCUCCGUUUCUUUUUAUUUGUCGCUGGAUAGUGCAAUUUUGCACUAUCCAGCGACAAAUAAAAAGAAACGGAGGGAGUAAUAGAUACGGGAGCAAAGCGACUCAACCAUGCUAUCCACGUCAACCAAAAAAACUUCAGCCAUUCGAUUCUUGAUUUGUGGUCCCUGGUGCAGCGAGGCCGCAAGGGGGAAACAACCGGAGACUACACAACAUAUCGAGACGGCUCUAUCUAACCUGAGGUCUAUGUCUUGCUUGCUGACCCGCACCUCUCUCCAUCCCACCUCGAACUCAUCUCCUUCGAUUCAGCAGAGGACAACGCUCUGCCUCUCCACUGUACUUGACAGUCACGGCUCCACCCCUCACCUAGCGAACAUACCCUCCCAUUUUCCAUUCGGAUGCAUGCGUGGGUGACCAGCACAUCGAGGAGUUCCACAAGCAUGCAUGAGGUUUUAUCGGAUUCGAGGCAGUUUCAGUGGCGCAUAACAACUAAUCACCAAUUCACCAUGGCAUCCUCCACCUAUCCAGUCCGGUCCUCCUCGCCCUUCUCCUCCAACCCGCGCUCACAACAGCGACCUCGCUCUCGGUGCUGCUGUUCUCAAUGGUGUCGUGGUGGA